UGAGUCCCCACCCUGCAGCGUGGCCCCAGCCCCAACUACACUGGUGAUGUCAGAUAACAGAGCGGACCUGAGUCCCCACCCUGCAGCGUGGCCCCAGCCCCAACUACACUGGUGAUGUCAGAUAAGAGCGGUGUUUGUGUAGCUUUAUUAACGCUUUUCUACCACAGUUUGCACCAUCCCUGUGCGUCACUAACAGGAUAAUCAACUUGUUUAUCCCUGAAUGAGGCUGAGCAAGAUAGAUGGACACAUAUUGCAGUACACAUACACAGGUAUAUGCACAGCACGGGCACACAUACACACACAUACACAGGUAUAUGCACAGCACGGGCACACAUACACAUACACAGGUAUAUGCACAGCACGGGCACACAUACACAGGUAUAUGCACAGCACGGGCACACACACACACACACAUACACAGGUAUAUGCACAGCACGGGCACACAUACACAUACACAGGUAUAUGCACAGCACGGGCACACAUACACAUACACAGGUAUAUGCACAGCACGGGCACACAUACACAUACACAGGUAUAUGCACAGCACGGGCACACAUACACAUACACAGGUAUAUGCACAGCACGGGCACACAUACACAUACACAG
ensembl:lncRNA